CCAUUUGGUGGGACAACACGUUGAAUGCACCCAUCCCAUCACUGAAGUUAAGCAACGUUGCGCGUGGUUGGUAUCCAGAUAGGUGACCAUCUGGGCAAUCGCGCCGCUGAUGGC
rnacentral:rRNA from 1 species